GAAAUCAAUUCAACAACAACUGCCCCGGUGCUUCCCCGUAGAUAGCACCGCUGGUCAGUUCGGGAGGGGAUGGGACAUUGAGGAGCAGGACAGUCUUCAGGAAGCUUACAGUCUGCUUUGGGUUGUUUCAGGAACACAGUCAUCCCUCAGAAAUGGAUUGGGUGACAAGUGGUCUGCAUGCUGCACACGGGCACUGGGUCUCUGAAUGUAACCAAAUUGUUCUCCUCUUAUCAUUCCCAUUCACUGGUGUACUUGUUUGUGGAGCCUGCAGAACUGCCUUUUUCAAGAAUGGCAGCUUGGCCUCUAAAUCUGCUUCCCACUGAUGGGAAGAGCUGACAGAAGCUUUAGAGAGGCACAGGGUGAGUUCCUAAAACCAGAGUCAACACACACUCUUCAUCUGUUUUGUGCUUCACUCCCUGCUCAUCUUCCUAAAACACUGAGUUUGGUCAUAUCAUGUCCUACAAGUUGUCAAUGAUUUCCCAUGAUCUUGUCUUCAGGAUAAAGUUCCUUAGUCAAAAGCAAUGAAGACCUGACCUAAUCUGUAAGGCAAAAUCAACACUUUUUAGCCUGGCCUUCCAUGCCCUUCCAUGCCCUUCGAGCCCCCAGAGCACCCAUGGCAGUCCAUCUCUCUCUACUUGUCCAGAGGGACACUCUCUUAGAGCCAGUGGCUCCUACUCACGGUUCCCCGAACACGUCGUGGGAAUGUUUGCCUUCAUACCUUCCCAGAUCAUUUUCCUGAUCUCAGACACCCUCCGUCCUCAUUCAUUCACUCUUCAAUUGUCCAACAAAUAUUUGUUGCUCAUGCAACCUGGAUCACCCACAUAGUUUCAAGACUGCAUCUUCUAAACUAUUUAAAUCCUAUCCAUUCUUCAAGAAAUGUUUCAUGACGCUUCCUUAACUGCUAAGGACCCGCAGAUUCUCUUCCUCUUGGGACUCACACACUGACUCAUCUCCCGAUCUUUUGGUGCUCAGCAAAGUGGAGGCUUCUGUUUUGGACUUAGAGUCAAGACCAUUAAAUAAGACUAUGCUCUAAAAAGUACACCUCCGUGGCCCGGAACGAGUGAAUUAACAUCUAUGAGUUUCCAUUUCCUUGUCUAUAAAAUUGUGAAAUUGCAACUUAAGAUUAGUUCUGAAGAUUAAAUGAGGUAACAUAGGUGAAAAUGCUACAUUUAUGUAAGAAAUUACUCUUUCAUAAGGAUGUCAAUGUUUAAAUACGCAUUUUCUCAAUUUUGUUAAUGAAAUACUUUGAAAUUCUUUUUUCUAAUGAAACCUGCUGAAUGUAAAAGAGACCCGUACUAAAGAAAGAUACCACAUGAAGCACCAAGGGUCUCUUUCUGGAUCUAUCAUGACUCUUGUGACUGUUUCAGCAGCACAGAAAUUAAAGGCGAUUGUUAUUCUGGAGGAAGACAAUGAGUCUCAUCUAUAUCUUGUUUGGGUUGAUUUUGUAAACAGAACAUUCCAAAGAUCAUUCUUGCCUUUUGUUUCCACUGAGAACUAGAAUAAAGUAAAACAAACUAUCAAUUUAAGGAAAGCCUCGAAAUUGUUAGCAAUUUCUUCAGUAACUUUCAUCCAUCAACUGAUUUUAUGAACACAAAUUUGCAGAAAUGGGCAAGAAAAACUACUUAACUCAUUGGUGGGAAGCAGUGGGCUCUCUAAGGAGGGAGAGAUAGCAGUGAUUUCACCACCGGACCGUGGAACACAAAGAGCCUGGAAGAGUCUAUCACUUUCAACUGAAACCGCAAGAAGAACUAAGUAGGUUAAGCCCUAAGAAUGUUCCUAGGUAACCUACUUGAGUUGAAAUUUGACUAAGAAUCCUUACACCCUACCUAAGAGAGGUAACGCUAUUAGGAUCGGAAGUGAUUGGAAGCUUUGUUUCAGAUCUCGUCCAAAAGGGAGAACGGUCAAUGACAAAGCUGCUGUGAAUAGUAUUCUGGGGGCGUGGUGGAACCCCGAUUCACUGCUAUCUCCCGAAUCAGCAACUUGACAGAGCGCGCCUCCCGGGCCUUGGAAGCCUUCCAUUCCGAGCUGGCUGGGUGGGACUCAGGUUUUACGGUAUGCUGGACUUUUUCCCCGUGAGUUAAAACACAUUUAUAGUAACUAAGUGGUUAAUGAUGAGAAAAAACCCCAAACUACUGUACUAAUAAUCAACCUCUGCUAUUUGGUUUGUAAAAAACAAAAAUACAUCUAUAAAAAGGGUUGGCCGG